rnacentral:tRNA from 1 species
GACAGGGUAGCACAAUCAGAUCACUGAAUUUCAAGUCCAGGGAUCUGGGUUCAAAUCUCAGCUCUGCCA